rnacentral:rRNA from 1 species
UACGGGGGGGGCAAGCGUUGUUCGGAAUUACUGGGCGUAAAGGGCUCGUAGGCGGCCAACUAAGUCAUACGUGAAAUCCCUCGGCUUAACCGGGGAACUGCGUCUGAUACUGGAUGGCUUGAGUUCGGGAGAGGGAUGCGGAAUUCCAGGUGUAGCGGUGAAAUGCGUAGAUAUCUGGAGGAACACCGGUGGCGAAGGCGGCAUCCUGGACCGAUACUGACGCUGAGGAGCGAAAAGCCAGGGGAGCAAACGGG